rnacentral:rRNA from 1 species
AGUGAACGCUGGCGGUAGGCCUAACACAUGCAAGUCGAACGGCAGCACAGUAAGAGCUUGCUCUUACGGGUGGCGAGUGGCGGACGGGUGAGGAAUACAUCGGAAUCUACUUUUUCGUGGGGGAUAACGGAGGGAAACUUACGCUAAUACCGCAUACGACCUACGGGUGAAAGCAGGGGAUCUUCGGACCUUGCGCGAUUCAAUGAGCCGAUGUCGGAUUAGCUAGUUGGCGGGGUAAAGGCCCACCAAGGCAACGAUCCGUAGCUGGUCUGAGAGGAUGAUCAGCCACACUGGAACUGAGACACGGUCCAGACUCCUACGGGAGGCAGCAGUGGGGAAUAUUGGACAAUGGGCGCAAGCCUGAUCCAGCCAUACCGCGUGGGUGAAGAAGGCCUUCGGGUUGUAAAGCCCUUUUGUUGGGAAAGAAAAGCAGCAGGUUAAUACCCCGCUGUUCUGACGGUACCCAAAGAAUAAGCACCGGCUAACUUCGUG